rnacentral:rRNA from 1 species
UGAGGAAUAUUGGUCAAUGGGCGAGAGCCUGAACCAGCCAAGUCGCGUGAAGGAAGACAGUCCUAAGGAUUGUAAACUUCUUUUAUACGGGAAUAACGGGCGAUACGAGUAUUGCAUUAAAUGUACCGUAAGAAUAAGCAUCGGCUAACUCCGUGCCAGCAGCCGCGGUAAUACGGAGGAUGCGAGCGUUAUCCGGAUUUAUUGGGUUUAAAGGGUGCGUAGGUUGUUCGGUAAGUCAGCGGUGAAACCUGAGCGCUCAACGUUCAGCCUGCCGUUGAAACUGCCGGGCUUGAGUUCAGUGGCGGCAGGCGGAAUUCGUGGUGUAGCGGUGAAAUGCAUAGAUAUCACGAGGAACUCCGAUUGCGAAGGCAGCUUGCCAUACUGCGACUGACACUGAAGCACGAAGGCGUGGGUAUCAAACAGGAUUAGAUACCCUGGUAGUCCACGCAGUAAACGAUGAUUACUAGGAGUUUGCGAUAUACCGUCAAGCUUCCACAGCGAAAGCGUUAAGUAAUCCACCUGGGGAGUACGCCGGCAACGGUG